rnacentral:rRNA from 1 species
GAUGAACGCUGGCGGCGUGCCUAAUACAUGCAAGUCGAGCGAACAGACGAGGAGCUUGCUCCUCUGACGUUAGCGGCGGACGGGUGAGUAACACGUGGAUAACCUACCUAUAAGACUGGGAUAACUUCGGGAAACCGGAGCUAAUACCGGAGAAUAUAUUGAACCGCAUGGUUCAAUAGUGAAAGACGGUUUUGCUGUCACUUAUAGAUGGAUCCGCGCCGCAUUAGCUAGUUGGUAAGGUAACGGCUUACCAAGGCAACGAUGCGUAGCCGACCUGAGAGGAUGAUCGGCCACACUGGAACUGAGACACGGUCCAGACUCCUACGGGAGGCAGCAGUAGGGAAUCUUCCGCAAUGGGCGAAAGCCUGACGGAGCAACACCGCGUGAGUGAUGAAGGUCUUCGGAUCGUAAAGCUCUGUUAUUAGGAAAGAACAGCUGUGUAAGUAACUAUGCACGUCUUGACGGUACCUAAUCAGAAAGCCACGGCUAACUACGUG